AGGAAAGAUGGCGGGGUGCUUAACACAUGCAAGUCGAACGGAAAGGCCCUGCUUUUGUGGGGUGCUCGAGUGGCGAACGGGUGAGUAACACGUGAGUAACCUGCCCUUGACUUUGGGAUAACUUCAGGAAACUGGGGCUAAUACCGGAUAGGAGCUCCUGCUGCAUGGUGGGGGUUGGAAAGUUUCGGCGGUUGGGGAUGGACUCGCGGCUUAUCAGCUUGUUGGUGGGGUAGUGGCUUACCAAGGCUUUGACGGGUAGCCGGCCUGAGAGGGUGACCGGCCACAUUGGGACUGAGAUACGGCCCAGACUCCUACGGGAGGCAGCAGUGGGGAAUAUUGCACAAUGGGCGGAAGCCUGAUGCAGCAACGCCGCGUGCGGGAUGACGGCCUUCGGGUUGUAAACCGCUUUCGCCUGUGACGAAGCGUGAGUGACGGUAAUGGGUAAAGAAGCACCGGCUAACUACGUG
rnacentral:rRNA from 1 species